ACGUUAAAACCGUAGGCUCGGUCUUGACGGUUGACGUUUGACGUCGGAACGUAACAGUUGAGAUUAGUUUGUCAUUAAUAUUAAAUUUCCAACUCUGAUGUGAAAAUGUCAAACUUUAAGGACAAUGAAGACGAGGACCAACCUGGGCUGUCAUUGACCAAGGCUGUAGAGGAUGUGAGUCAUCAUGGGUACGCCCAGACUGUGGCCCUGGAGGAGAAACAGAAGAUCCUCAGCUCCUUGCAGUUGACUCUUAAAAAUGUUGCGCUGGAGGAUGAGGCGGUGGAGCAGGAUCUGAAAGCCAAUGUGAGGGAUACCCUUCUGCUGAAAGGAGAGAUGGAGCAGCUGGGCCAGCAGGUCACAGCACUGUAUGGUCGCUGUGUUUCCAUCAGCAAGGACAUCAGCAAUCUCCAGGUGGACAUAAGCGAGGAGGAGGAGAAGGCUGGUGUGGCACUGGAAGGUUUCAACACUUACAGAAACAAGAUGGAGACUCACAGAGCUGCUGCUCUGCGUGCUGCGAGCCAGACAGAGGCCAAGAAAGAGCUGGAGGAGAAGAGGGAGCUGGUUAGGAUGCUGAAGGAGAAGAAAGAGGAGCUGAGGGAAGAUUUAGAGAAUCCCUAUGGAAACACGGUGCAGAUGGUGAAGAAAGAGAUCGCUGCUCUUAAUGAGGAGAUCUCUGUGAUGAGUAAGACUAUUGAGGAGAAGAGGGAGAAACUGCAUGAAGAGUCCACGCUUCACACUCACAUAAAGAAAGACAUAGCGAUCCAGAACAAGCGCUAUGAAGCCAUCGUCAGGCGCCUCCACUGCCAGAUGAGCAGAGCACAGGGAGUCCACAGGCAGCUGUCUGCAGAUAUCCACCACUUGGAGAGGCAGCUUGAUGAGCUCAAGAGGCAGCAGGAGUCAUCUCAGGGCUUGGCGGUUGGUGGUCAUUAAACGAGGUGGUGGGGAGGUAGAGCGUACAGCCUUGGACCUUCCAAGGGAUCGUUGGAGGAAAAGGAGAUGGAGUAUGGCCGGCUACAUUGUUAUGAUGUCACCUGACGCAGCAAUUGCCAUCUGGCUUACACUCCCACCUACCAAGUCCUGUUGGUAGUGGAAACACAAACAAGAUCAUGCCAUGCACUAAACAGUACCAAAAUGCACACAACCAAACCGGCCCGCUUGGUGGACUCGCAGUUCAAACAGACGGAGUUCAUAUGUCUCUAUUUAUGUGCAGAAGCAUGUUCACACCUCCCUUCACAUGCUGCUCACACACACACACACACACACAUCUACAUUUAGCCCCUUCAUCCAAUUAACUGCAUAGUGAAGCAGGUUUAUUUUCCCAGGAUGUCCACGGUUUGCGACAACUUCUAGUGGUCGGCGCCACGUGGUCCCUUUACACGACUCACGUCUUGUGUGUGUGUGGAUUCUCUGGGGCCCGGGUUGGCAGCCGACUUAAGUUAAAAAUUUGAAGGAACCAAAACCAAACAGGGCCUCAGUUCAGACUGAACUCGCCCAAGCUGUCCCCCAUGAUCAGAGAAAAAUCUAACCAAUCAAAGCUUUUUGAGAUAAAAUCAUAAAUGAACAUCUGACUUGUUGGGAAAUGUCUCUAAUUAGUGUGACAAACAGGAACUGCGACACAGAUACGUGACAGAUUUUAUCUCAUAUUAUUACCCAACUCUGUUAAAUACUUGAUUCUGAUUGGUCAGCAGCACAGCGACACCAGGGACGCCCUGACACUCUUCAGAGUCUGCUUCAGGCGGGUCUUGAGAGCCAGGAUAUCACAGUUAUCAGACCCAGAUGUGAGAGCAUUUCCUCCAAACUAAUCUCUUAUCUGUUUAUGGUGCUGCUGGAUGUCAGAUCUCACAGCGAUCAGAACACUGAUAACAGCUUUUUCUUUCUGAGUGUGUACAAACAAGAAGUGUGUCUCUUACACCCAGCUCCGGACAUGGUUUAAUCCCUGCAGAGUGUGGCCUCCCUGACAGUCUGGGCGCUCAGGGUUUAACCAGCAGGCCACCUGCUUUCUCAGCAAUAAGGAAGAGCACAGAGGGUGGUCCAAAAAAAAGGGGGCGUAAAGAGGAUUUUUUUUGGGGUCGAUUUUGGGGCAGAGUGGUCUUUGUGUGUCUGGAAACAGCAGGCCAGAUUCAAGAUUACUGGUCUGUGUGUCUUUCUACAAAACAGCAAAUUCAUGACUCCUUUGAGAGGUGUUAGUAUCACAAAGCUGUGCAGAUAGAAAGAACUGAGACAGUACUUGAGUGAUCGCUGCCCUUAAUGUAAAUAAUUGCCCUCCAUGUUUGUCCAAACAUGUCCAGCAGCACAAACAGCCAGGGUUAAUCCGCGUGUGAUCCCUCGGCCUAAGAGAACAUCCUGUACCCGCCGCAGCGGUGAAGAAAACACCUUUUGUCAAUGAAAUGGGAUUUGCGAAAGUGCCAUCUGGACGCAGGAGCAGCAGCAGAGUCUGAUCCACUGAGAAGACCGGCCAGAAGAGCCAAGGUCAGGGUGCAGGGAUCAGACCGACCUGGGGAAGGAGAGCGGAGUGGGCGGAGUGGGAGGGGUCAGGGCAGGGCAGGUCGAGGCCUUUUUAGAGAUGUACAUUAGAUCAGUGAACAUCACUAAUUAGAUUGUGUCUCUUAACGUAAGCUCUUUAUCUCUCAGGUCACAUUUUAAUUAUAACACUGUCACCUUCAAAACAUAGACGUCUAUCACUUUAUGAGUGCAUUAUAUUUAGUUUAAGUGUUACAUUUAUGUUAAAUCACAAGUCUCCACUCCACCUGCAAGUUAACUCACCAGACCACACCUGAUCAACCAAGCCACGCCCCCAACACUAUAAAAGCCUGCACACAAGCCUUUGGUUCCCUUUUCCCUCCAAAGCUGGCAUGUGCCAGUGACUACUGUGUCGAAAUGUUUGUGCCAUGUGGUUUGGAAGAAUUACCUGGAGUGGAUGCAUUACUGAUCAAAAAUCAUCCACAUCCAAAUCCACUCCUUUGUCAGCACUGAGCUGAUCCUUUCUGUUGAAAAUGAAUCUUCGAAACCUGCCCUGGAUCCUGUGUGUUUGACUGCACACCACACAUUGUUCUGUGAACCAGCAUCAAGAGGAAACAAACAUUUUACAAUUUGAGUAGCUAGAAGUUUUAUUAUGUCCUUUCCUUUCCUUUCCUAAUUUAUUGUAUUAUUUCCUGUUUUAUUUUAAAUAAAUAAAACCGGAAACCCUAA